rnacentral:rRNA from 1 species
GACGAACGCUGGCGGCGUGCCUAAUACAUGCAAGUAGAACGCUGAAGGAGGAGCUUGCUUCUCUGGAUGAGUUGCGAACGGGUGAGUAACGCGUAGGUAACCUGCCUGGUAGCGGGGGAUAACUAUUGGAAACGAUAGCUAAUACCGCAUAAGAGUAGAUGUUGCAUGACAUUUGCUUAAAAGGUGCAAUUGCAUCACUACCAGAUGGACCUGCGUUGUAUUAGCUAGUUGGUGGGGUAACGGCUCACCAAGGCGACGAUACAUAGCCGACCUGAGAGGGGGAUCGGCCACACUGGGACUGAGACACGGCCCAGACGCCUACGGGAGGCAGCAGUAGGGAAUCUUCGGCAAUGGACGGAAGUCUGACCGAGCAACGCCGCGUGAGUGAAGAAGGUUUUCGGAUCGUAAAGCUCUGUUGUAAGAGAAGAACGAGUGUGAGAGUGGAAAGUUCACACUGUGACGGUAUCUUACCAGAAAGGGACGGCUAACUACGUG